GAUGAACGCUGACAGAAUGCUUAACACAUGCAAGUCUACUUGAUCCUUCGGGUGAUGGUGGCGGACGGGUGAGUAACGCGUAAAGAACUUGCCCUGCAGUCUGGGACAACAUUUGGAAACGAAUGCUAAUACCGGAUAUUAUGUGAGUUUCGCAUGAAAUUCAUAUGAAAGCUAUAUGCGCUGCAGGAGAGCUUUGCGUCCUAUUAGCUAGUUGGUGAGGUAACGGCUCACCAAGGCGAUGAUAGGUAGCCGGCCUGAGAGGGUGAACGGCCACAAGGGGACUGAGACACGGCCCUU
rnacentral:rRNA from 1 species